rnacentral:ncRNA from 2 species
UACUUAUCAAGAAAGGUGGAGGGUAAUGGCCCUGCGAAGCCUUGGCAACCUCCUUUGAUACACUUGUAUUAAAGGGAAGGUGCCAAUUCCAUCACGCCACAGGCGUGAGAGAUAAGCC